AUGGCUCCUUCUUUAGUGAGAUUAUAUGAACAAAUGCCUGAACCAAAGUAUGUUAUUGCUAUGGGAGCGUGUACAAUUACAGGGGGGAUGUUCAGUACCGAUUCUUAUAGUACUGUUCGAGGGGUUGAUAAGCUAAUUCCUGUAGAUGUCUAUUUGCCGGGUUGUCCACCUAAACCAGAGGCUGUUAUAGACGCUAUAACAAAGCUUCGUAAGAAAAUAGCUAGAGAAAUCUAUAAGGAUCGAAUUAGACCUCAACGGGGUUUUUUACCUACGGUUCCCGUAUUACAGAUCAAUCCUACUAGACUAAUACAAUAUACGAAUAGGAGGCACAGGGGAAGAAGCACUACGCCGAGAAAUCAACAACACGAAAACUUUCUUCAAAAAGAUUCCUUUUCUUUCUUCUUCUUUGGGAUUGGGACUAAUUAAAAUGGUUGGAACAAUAAACAUCCAUCUCGUCCGUACUUUGGAUACCCGUAUAACCAUUGAAGACUGUUGAAGUGACUAAUUCCUGGAAAUUUAGGGGCGUUGAGAACAAAGAAAUUGUUAGAGUUUCCUUUUUUAUUUUUAUCUAGUAUGAAUAUGAAUCCACUUGGUAGUAAGAAAAGAUCUUUUACAAGAAGGUUGGCUAGGGAUUUCUUGUAAAAACAUUAGCCCCGCUUAGUUCAUAAUGACAUCAAAUUUUUCCAUAUCCAUAUAUUUAUUAUUUUCAUUAUGCACCUAAAGGAGGAGCCGUAUGAGAUGAAAAUCUCACAUACGGUUCUGAAACGGAGAAUUCGUUAAAGCGAAUGACGACCGUAACGGAUGUCGGCUCAAUCUGAAGGAAAUUAUGCGGAAGCAUUACAGAAUUAUUAUGAAGCUAUGCGACUAGAAAUUGACCCCUAUGAUCGAAGUUAUAUACUCUAUAAUAUAGGCCUUAUCCACACAAGUAAUGGGGAACAUACCAAAGCUUUAGAAUAUUAUUUUCGGGCAUUAGAACGAAACCCCUUUUUACCACAAGCUUUUAAUAAUAUGGCUGUGAUCUGUCAUUACGUGCGACUAUCUCCACUAUAGAAAAAAAGAACGAACAGCUAGUCAAUGAAAUACUAGAAAAAAAAAAAGGCUUUCUACAUAAGCAUCGUCCAAAACGAUUUUUUAUCAGCUGUAGCAAAUAAAUAAACUUCAUGGAUCGAAAUAUGAAGUGAAGACUAGAUAUGCCUAAAUACUUUAUUUUCUAUGGAUAAAAAAAGAUUUAAUUGAUAGAGGAAGCACCGUAAAGAUCAACUGGAAAGGUUUUGGACCGAUACAACAAGAGCUGUUUAUUUAUAUCAUAAUAUGAGAUAAAUCUUAGAAAUCUACUUAUGUAAUAGAGUGGAUCCCCUAAGGUAUUGAGCAGCGGUGUAGCAUCAGAUCCUAAAGACAGUAAGUCUUUUUCUUUUUUAUGAUAUGAAGUAUGAAAAAAAGUCUUUUUCAACGAUUCUAUAUAAAUUUAUAUAUGAAAGCGGGAUAGUUACCUUUCAGAAAAUUCUAAUAUCUAAUAACAGUGGACAUGCCUUUUUUUUCUGAAGGUAGGAGAAAAGAUAAAACUUAUUAUUAGAUUAAUUAAUAUAUUAAUUAAAUCAAAACGAAAGUUUGAAACUCAUGUAAUUACUCUCUUUUGUUUAAUCCAAGAAAAACCGAAUGAAUAUCUAUAAGAAAUCUCAUUCAAUUAGAUAUAAAGUUAAAGUAGGUUAAAGUGAAAAAAACUGGUACACCAAAACAAAAGAGUUGGUUGUCGAGCCGUAUGAGGUAGGAAACUCUCAAGUACGGUUCUCAGGGAGGGAAUUGACCCGCCUAUUCCGACCGUGGAGAACAGGCCAUUCAACAAGGAGAUUCUGAAAUGGCGGAGGCUUGGUUUGCUCAAGCCGCCGAGUAUUGGAAACAGGCUAUAACGCUUACUCCUGGUAAUUAUAUUGAAGCACAGAAUUGGUUGACGAUCACGAGGCGCUUCGAAUAAGAACUUUUUCUUUGUUUCUUUUUUUUUUAUUCUAUAAUAUAUCUUUAUUUGUUUUUACAAUUAAUUGUUUUUUAGUUUCUUGGCCCUCUCGGUCAAAUAAACCAGAUUCUUUUUUCUAUCAGAAGAACCAAUCCCAGAAAAAAAUUUCAUUAUAUCCUUUUCUCAAAUCGUUCUAUUUAAUCUGGUAUUCUCUAGGGAUAAGUAGUACAUGAAUAUGAGAAUAUCUAUAAUAUCUAUAUCUAGUUUUUUCUAUUUUUUUCUUUUCGACUAUUAAAACGAAUAAAAGGGAUUUGAAAAUGACUAAAUAUCAAUACUAGAAUGUUUCUUAGUAAUGACUAAUAAGCGGUUAUUGAAAUAGGAUAAUAUCCUCUAUUUAAAACAUAAAAAAUAGGCUAUAUUUCGGAACUUAUAAUUGAAAUAUGAAUACACUAGAUUAGGUUAUAAAAAAAAAUUAUUUGUGUACCAAUACUAAUGUAAAGGUGCGAAAACGCUUUUUAA